GGGGUUGUGGCUCAGGGGCAGAGCGCUCACCUAGAAUGUGUGAGGCCCUGGGUUCAAUACUCAGAACCACA
rfam:Ictidomys tridecemlineatus contig011025, whole genome shotgun sequence.